rnacentral:rRNA from 1 species
GACGAACGCUGGCGGCGUGCCUAAUACAUGCAAGUUGAGCGAUGAAGCUUGGUGCUUGCACCAAUUUGAAGAGCAGCGAACGGGUGAGUAACGCGUGGGGAAUCUGCCUUUGAGCGGGGGACAACAUUUGGAAACGAAUGCUAAUACCGCAUAACAACUUUAAACAUAAGUUUUAAGUUUGAAAGAUGCAAUUGCAUCACUCAAAGAUGAUCCCGCGUUGUAUUAGCUAGUUGGUGAGGUAAAGGCUCACCAAGGCGAUGAUACAUAGCCGACCUGAGAGGGUGAUCGGCCACAUUGGGACUGAGACACGGCCCAAACUCCUACGGGAGGCAGCAGUAGGGAAUCUUCGGCAAUGGACGAGAGUCUGACCGAGCAACGCCGCGUGAGUGAAGAAGGUUUUCGGAUCGUAAAACUCUGUUGGUAGAGAAGAACGUUGGUGAGAGUGGAAAGCUCAUCAAGUGACGGUAACUACCCAGAAAGGGACGGCUAACUACGUG